UGAAAAAAAAAAUAUAUAUAUAUUUAGUUCUUCUAAAGAUUAAACAGUUUAAUAGACCCAAGCUCAGCUUCAGCUAAAACACAUCAGCUUAAAGGAUUGCAGUAUUCAAUUUCUUUCUUAUCUUAUAGUAGCAGAGUCAAACUCAGUUCAGGCACUAAAUUGCUUACAGAUUUCGACUCUUAUAAGUUUGCAUGCCUUCCUAUAUGUUCAUUCAGAUGAGAAUAAGAAAAAAAAAAAAUCAUCGGAACUUCUAUAAAGAGCUUACCAGAGGCCCACUGGCUACAAAU
rnacentral:misc_RNA from 1 species